rnacentral:rRNA from 1 species
UGGGAAAUAUUGCACAAUGGAGGGAACUCUGAUGCAGCGACGCCGCGUGAGUGAUGAAGGAAUUCGUUUCGUAAAACUCUGUUCUAUGGGAAGAAAAGGACUGUACCAUAGGAGAAAGCUCCGGCUAAAUACGUGCCAGCAGCCGCGGUAAUACGUAUGGAGCGAGCGUUGUCCGGAAUUAUUGGGCGUAAAGGGUGCGCAGGCGGCUUUACAAGUUGGAUGUGAAAUAUUGUGGCUCAACCACAAACGUGCAUCCAAAACUGCAAAGCUUGAGUUAAGGAGAGGUAAGUGGAAUUCCUGGUGUAGCGGUGGAAUGCGUAGAUAUCAGGAGGAAUACCGGUGGCGAAGGCGACUUACUGGACUUAAACUGACGCUCAGGCACGAAAGCGUGGGGAGCAAACAGG